GGGAGAGGAUCGGGUCCGGUGGCCCGGCUGGUCUUCAAAACCAGGUGCGGGCGUUAAGCGUCCGCGGUGGGUUCGACUCCCACCCUCUCCCGCCA
rnacentral:tRNA from 1 species